rnacentral:lncRNA from 1 species
CUUUGGUCUUUUUAGGACCACACCUGCGGCAUAUGGAGGUUCCCAGGGUAGAGGUCUAAUUAGAGCUACAGCUGCUGGCCUACACCACAGCCACAGCAAUGCCAGAUCUGAGCUGCAUCUGCGACUUACACCACAGCUCACAGUGACACCAAAUCCUUAACCCACUGAGUGAGACCAGGGAUCAAACUGAUGUCCUCAUGGAUACUAGUUAGGUUCAUUAACCACUGAGCCACAAUGGGAAUGCCUCAAUUGUUUAAAUUAGCCAACAAGUACUUAAAAAAUAUAAAUGUAUUAAAGAAUUUGCAGGGAAUGUAGACAUCAAGGAUGGCAGGUGGUAUUUUAGGAAAGAAAUGAAAACUGUUAAAAAAAAAACAACCAGAUGGAAAUUCUUAAACAUUCAAUAUAUAAAAUAAAAAUUUUUAUUGAGUAUGCUAAUGUGGCAGUUUGGACAUUACAUAACAAAUAAUUUGUAAACUUUAGGGCAGGUCAAUAUAAAUUAUUCGAAUUGAAGCAGAGAUAGUAACAAGAUUGAAAAACUGAGCAAACAUUAGUAAGCUGUGACAAAAUAUCAAGAGGUUAUUAUACAUAUAAUUGAAGUCCUAAAUAGGAAGGAAAAUGAGACAGAAAUAUAUUUGAAUAAAUACUUGCUAAAAAGUUUCCAAACAAGAAAAUACCCUAUACUGAGUGGCUUAAACAAUAGAAAUUUAUUUCUUACAGUUUUGGAAGCUGGGAAGUCCAAGAUUUGGGUGCCUACCAAUUGAUGAUAGUUCUCAUCCUGGCUUGCAGACAGCUGCCUUCUCACUUUGUUCUUACAAAGUGAGAACUUUCCUUGGUGUAAGCUGUCAGAGGGAGACAGCUUUCUCCCUCCUACAUUAUGGAUGAAAGAAACCAGGUAUUAAGUAGUACAUACUUUUGAUUCUAAUUAGUGGCACAAGUCAAAGUGGUUAACUAGGGGUAGGGUAGGGGAGUUAAUUGCUAAGGGAGUGCUAGGGAAACUUCUGGGUUGUCGGCAAUGCUAUGGGAUGAUAGUUACAUGGUCAUAUAUAUUUGUCAAAAACAAUUUACACUUAAGAUCUGUGCCUUUCAUUGCAUUAAGAUUUAGCUUAACAAAGAAAAAGUAACCAAAACCAAAUAACUAAGUUAUAUCUUAACAAAGAACGAUAAUCUUCUAUGAUAAUUUUGGUGUACUCCUAGGUUAGGGAGCACAAUUCUAUAGAGAUUUUUUUUUUCAUUGUAAAUAUUCUCCCAAACAAUGUAGGAGUUAGGAGAUUUCAGAGCAAAACUUUUUUUUUUAAUAAUGAUUUUUAUUUUUUCCACUAUAGCUGGUUUAUAGUGUUCCAUCAGUUUUCUGCUGUAUAGCAAGGUGACCCAUUCACACAUACAUGUAUACAUUCUUUUUUCUCACAUUGUUCCAUUAUAAGUGACUAGAUACAGUUCCCAGUGCUAUACAGCAGGAUCUCAUUGCUUAUCCAUUCCAAAGGCGAUAGUUUGCAUCUGUUAACUACAAAUUCCCAAUCCAUCCCACUCCCUGCUCCCCUCCAUCCCCCGCCCCUGGCAACCACAACUCUGUUCUCCAAGUCCCUGAAUUUCUUUUCUGUGGAAAGGUUCAUUUGUGCCAUAUAGUAUAUUCCAGAUAUAAGUGGUAUAAUAUGGUAUUUGUCUUUCUCCUUCUGACUUACUUCAUUCAGUAUGAGAGUCUCUGGUUCCAUCCAUGUUGCUGCAAAUGGCAUUAUUUUGUUCUUUUUGAUGGCUAAGUAGUAUUUUAUUGUGUAUAUGUACCACAUCUUCUUAAUCCAAUCAUCUGUCGAUGGACAUUUAGAUGGUUUCUAUGUCUUGGCUAUUGUGAAUAAUGCUGCAAUGAACAUGCGGGUGCAUAUGCAAGUAAGAGGGAAGGGCUUGUUCCAGGUCACACUACUAACCAAUUAAUUAUGGGAUGGGGAUCAUAGUUCUAGCUCUCAAGUUUAGAUUAUUUGGUAUUAAAGAAAAAAAUAGUAUAUAGUACAUCAGCUCAGCAUAAGGAGGUUCAAGGUGCUAGCACUUGCUCUCUCCUAGAAGUUCAUCCUAAACCUACAUUUGUGUUGUGAGGAGCAAUUAGGAUUAGGCAGGUUUUCUGUGGUGCUGAAAGAGGCUCGUGCUGACCACACAGAGGCAGGGAACAUGAUCUCAGCAGGAAGAGUUUCCAGUUCCCCUGUAACUCUGAGUUAUUUCUUUUAGACUUUCAAGUCUUUCCUUCCUUCCAGGGAUGGGCUUUUCAAGCUUAACCUCUGAGGCACCAGGUCCACCGUUACUAUUCUUUCUAAGACAUUUUCAGUGGUAUUUCACCAUGCAUCUUUGAAUUCUCUGGGGGCAGGAAACACGGCUCACACAUAUAUCACAAUAGUGGGGGGCGAAAGUUUGUGUAAUCGCUAUAGGUAUUUAACAACAAAGAAGAAACUGUCCUUAUUUCCAUCCCGGACAGCUUAGAGUGUUAUGCAAGUACUUUGACGCAGCUUCAUGAACUGCAGAAUUAAAUCUGCAACCACAAAAAAACGAAGCUGAUUUCUCAUGGCUCUUUUGUAACUUCAGAAAGGUUUUGGGAAGUCUCUAAAUUGAAUUGAACUGUUGAGCACAGGCUGAACUUAAAACCCUCAUCUGUUUUAAGUCCCUGCCUCUCUCCCAUACUCUGAACACUCAUGCAGGGUCCUUUGGUUGAAGACACACGCUCUAUGUGAAAGGCCAAGGAACCCAGGGGGCUGAGAUUACUUUACUGCCUGCAUCACCACAUUCCUUUUGUUUGAAUUCACUCCGACGAAAACCACUGAGUGGUUGCAGAAUGUCCUGUACAGAGUAGUGGGGUCCCAUCAGGCCACAAAGGUGGGUGGAAAGAGCACAGCCCUGCAAGGAAUGUUGAUGUUGUUACGCGGGAAGGAAAACAGGAAGAUGGUAAGAAAAACAGAUAUUUCUUAACAGUGGUACGCCAAAAAUUUCCUACUUCAAAAUGAGGGUGUAAUUGGCAUCUACCUUGAAACAAAACCCCAUGGUAAUUUAUUUUUUUUAUACGUGUCUUGGCAUUAGCUGUGCCAGUUAUCUCACUGGUUCUCAGUGAACCUUCCUGAACACGGGGAAGUACAUUUGUUGAUCAGGAUGAAUGUUGUAACAAGCUGCUGAUAUUUGAGGGGACGUUCGAGAAAAGGAGAAUUCAUUUCUUGCUCAUGUCACAGUAAAGUGAGGGUAAGGAGAGAAAGUCAUGGAGGGCACAGGAGGUGAGAGGCUGGGUCUAGCACUGCCUCACUCGUUACUACUCACCUUUCACUGGCUGUAACUUAGUCAUAUGGUUUCAUCUGACUUCAGAGGAGACUGGAAAAUGUGGUCUAGUUUUUAAAGUUCUAGAAGAAAAAAGAAAGGAGAUUUCAAGAACACAUAGCAUUGUCUCUGCCACAUUACAUGCCAAUAGGGGGCCAUAAUGUGAAUUCUGUCCUUGCUAAGAUACUUAGAUAUCUACUGACAAGUGGGGAAAAGUAUAUGCUCCAUUCCCAUUUUUUCCAGGUGGUGUUGGUAUGGUUUGUGGGGAUGUUAUCAACAAGCCAAAAAUCUCCUAUUUCAAAAUGAGAGUGUAAUUGGCAUCUACCUUGAAGCCAGACCCUAUGGUAAUUUAUUUGUUAUUUGCAUUUAGGCAUGGACAUAGUCUAAUUGGAGAUAGUAACCUGUCCACUCUUAGACCAUCUUCAUGAUCAGUGCCUAUUCCUGAACCUACAAUUUGACAAUUGGCAUUGUUUAUAUAAUGGUUGCACAGAACAGAGUUUCUCUGCAGAGCUAAACUCAUACAUAUUUUGAAGGCUAUGCAAAGCCUUUAGCUGAUCAGGAGACAAAAGAAAGGACUUCAUUACAGGACUUGUAAAUUGUUGCUUUAUUGCUUUACUUUCUAAUAUUAUAUCAUUAAGCAGCCUUGUUAGUCAAUAUACUCUGUUGUGAAUAAAAUAGAAAAUGGUUAAGAUCAGUCAGAAAAUAAUGGCUUCAAAUUUCAGUUUCACUAGGUAUAUGGUAGCAGUUCCAAAACCGAGUCAGGAGCAUGUGUUUGGAAAGAGGCCUUCAACAGGUUCAGGUGACAGAGAGGAGAGUAGGUCCAGAUCUUGAACACAGAAAGGAGAUGUGGCUGGGAGCCCCUAACAGCACAGGAGGAGCUUAAGGGUGCAGGGGUCUUUGGAGAAGGUGAAACUAGGGAGUAAUUUCCAGCAGCACAGUUCUUAGGUGCUUUUUUAGAUGUCUUGGGGCAGGUACCAUAGGCAUUUCUGACUGAACUGACCUCUCUUGGUCUCAAUGCAGUGUCUGGAUUAAGGACUAGCAAAUUCUUGAUACCCAUCCCACAACGGGG